rnacentral:rRNA from 1 species
GAGUUUGAUCCUGGCUCAGGAUGAACGCUAGCGAAAGGCUUAACACAUGCAAGUCGAGGGGCAGCAUGAUCUUAGCUUGCUAAGGUUGAUGGCGACCGGCGCACGGGUGCGUAACGCGUAUGCAACUUGCCUUACAGAGGGGGAUAACCCGUUGAAAGACGGACUAAAACCGCAUACACUUGUAUUAUUGCAUGAUAUUACAAGGAAAUAUUUAUAGCUGUAAGAUAGGCAUGCGUCCCAUUAGCUUGUUGGUGAGGUAACGGCUCACCAAGGCGACGAUGGGUAGGGGAACUGAGAGGUUUAUCCCCCACACUGGUACUGAGACACGGACCAGACUCCUACGGGAGGCAGCAGUGAGGAAUAUUGGUCAAUGGGCGAGAGCCCGAACCAGCCAAGUCGCGUGAAGGAAGACAGUCCUAAGGAUUGUAAACUUCUUUUAUACGGGAAUAACGGGCGAUACGAGUAUUGCAUUGAAUGUACCGUAAGAAUAAGCAUCGGCUAACUCCGUGCCAGCAGCCGCGGUAAUACGGAGGAUGCGAGCGUUAUCCGGAUUUAUUGGGUUU